UACGAAGGGGGCUAGCGUUGCUCGGAAUUACUGGGCGUAAAGGGAGCGUAGGCGGAUAGUUCAGUCAGAGGUGAAAGCCCAGGGCUCAACCUUGGAAUUGCCUUUGAUACUGGCUGUCUUGAGUAUGGGAGAGGUUAGCGGAACUCCGAGUGUAGAGGUGAAAUUCGUAGAUAUUCGGAAGAACACCAGUGGCGAAGGCGGCUAACUGGCCCAUUACUGGACGCUGAGGCUCGAAAGCGUGGGGAGCAAACAGG
rnacentral:rRNA from 1 species